AACGAACGCUGGCGGUAGGCCUAACACAUGCAAGUCGAACGGCAGCACAGGAGAGCUUGCUCUCUGGGUGGCGAGUGGCGGACGGGUGAGGAAUACAUCGGAAUCUACCUUUUCGUGGGGGAUAACGUAGGGAAACUUACGCUAAUACCGCAUACGACCUACGGGUGAAAGUGGGGGACCGCAAGGCCUCACGCGAUUAGAUGAGCCGAUGUCCGAUUAGCUAGUUGGCGGGGUAAUGGCCCACCAAGGCGACGAUCGGUAGCUGGUCUGAGAGGAUGAUCAGCCAAAUUGGAACUGAGGCACGGUCCAGACUACUACGGGAGGCAGCGGUGGGGAUUAUUGGACAAUGGGCGCAAGCCUGAUCCAACCAUACCGCGUGGGUGAAGAAGGCCUUCGGGUUGUAAAGCCCUUUUGUUGGGAAAGAAAUCCUGUCGAUUAAUACUCGGUGGGGAUGACGGUACCCAAAGAAUAAGCACCGGCUAACUUCGUGCCAGCCGCCGCAGUAAUAC
rnacentral:rRNA from 1 species